CACAGGCGUAUAAAUACAAGGUCGCACAGUAAUCGCGAGGAAAUAAGCUGAAGAGCAACCGGAAUACGAAAAACAUUUCAUUCCAGCAUUACGGAUUACGAAUACUAUAAUUCGAUUCAAUUUUGGACGCAACGCCAUACCAAAGAGAAUUAUAAGCCGCAUUCCCAAUCAGUUUGCUCUACAAGGGAAGCAGAAUAGAUUCCGGGUUUCCUUAAAUAAUUGCAAACGUCGACUGCAGGAUUCUCACCGCUUACCUUCGCUCUCAAGUAUUCACCAGCAAAACAGUAUAUGAAUGCCUCGAGAUUCAUCACGAGAUAGAAUAAUACAGACUUCACCAAUAUUGCCAGGCCGUUGGCAGUACCGAUUGACUAUAAUGAUGAAAUGGAAUAAUUGCGGAUAAAUAAACUGUAUUUCCAUGCUCUAAGAUAAAAUACAGCAUUUACGGUUAUCAUCAAGUUAUUACCUACAUCCAUAAAGCAACAUGCAUGUGAUUCUCGCCGAGGUUACUCACGAUGACGAUAAUAAAUCCUAAAUAAUAAACAGCAUAUGAUGAGGAUAUCUGAUAUGAACAACAUCAAUGCAAUAUAAGUGUAAAGAUUCUUAAUGUUUUCCGAGAAUAUAAUAAUUUGCUGAGAUGCUUUGUAUGAUCAACGCUCUCAAUAUUAUACGUUCACGAUAGAUAUCAUAUUUUUGGAAAAAGCUUUUAGCAGCCACUCGCGUAAAUUAGGACCACCAGUGUGAGGUAUCAAAGAUUCAUAUCUUUAUGUUACAGAUGCGGUCGUGUUUUCGAUCCAUUUUCGAUCGUCUCGUGAAAGUUACUCACCAGAGUAAUCGAUGAGUGAAUUUGCAAUGGAAAAUCCAUAAUCGCACAUUGCCAGGUGAAAGUGUGAUGAACAGUAGACUAUGUGCAUGGCACUACUCACUCCAUCCAUAAAAUAAGAAAAAUUAUCUGUAUUAUAAUGUAUCACCAUGUAUUAGUAUUGAAUGAGCAGAGCUAUGCUCAACAUCACGAUCCAAAGGAAUCGGUACAGAGGGGUCGAUGGUAGAUAUGGCCAGAUACCACAGGCGCGAAGACCGAUCUUCACAACUUGACUAACAGUGCUCACUUCCAUGUUCAGUGGAAAACUACAAGAAAUUCAUAGAGAAUCUCUCGAAGCAUGCGGUCGUGUCUUCGAUCUAUUUUCAAUCAUCUCAUGAAAAUUGCGGAACUUACCAGAGUGACGAUAAGUGAAUUUACCAUGGAAAUUCCACAGCCGUAUAUUGCCAGCAAGUACCCCGCAACUGUAUAGGAUUUAUGACGGUCAACUGGAGGCCGAUAAUCCACUUCGAGAAGCGGUGUGACAGUUUGACUUUAUCUGUCGUAAUGCGUAAA